AAUUGAGAAAAACGUUGCAUCCAAAAUUGCAGAAACAGGUUGAUUUAGGUUCGCUUCAAGACACUGUACCAACAGACAGGAUUUUAGUUUUGCGAGACUGGACAGAUUCUACUUCGACUGACAUAUAAAGCAUAUGUUGAGGAUGAAGAUGAUGACAAAUGUGCAGUGGACUCUAUUGAUACAGAUGAUGAAUUAAAUGUGCCUUUGGAAUCUGAUAAAGAGUCAUUUGUGGAUGUUCUAGCUGCUUCAAUAGUGAGCGAGGAAUUUCAAGGGAUUGUGGCAUCUGAGACAGGAAGCAAUAAAAACUUUGACCAUGUCUCAGCUGCUCAAUCAGUGCCUUCCCAUACCAACAGCAGUUCUGAAGGUUCCGGAGGAUCAGUUAUAGUUUGGCUUGCUAUUUUAACAACCAUAUUAAUUGGUGCUAAUAGCUAUCAGUGUACAUACACAUACUCCUGCUUAAGAAGGUGAUUGAUUCCUAAAGUUUUUAUCUGAUUUAUUUUUGCAAUAUAUAGUUUUUGUCUUUUAACUUUUGUUUCCCAUAUACUCCUCCUCUGUUCCGUAAAGAUUGGAAAAGUUAUACUUUCACGGUAAGUAAGAAAUUAAUUAUUUAUAGUAAAUUUAUUGGAAUAUUUCUAAAGUACCCUUUUAAAAGUGAAACAUUAUGGAAUAAUUACUUACAAAAACCAAAGCAACUGUUCUAAUUAUUGCAUUAUAGGAAUAAUUUUGUCAUUAACUAAUAUUCAAAUAGCAACUUUUUCUAUCUUUAAAGAACGGAGGUAGUAUUUCUUUUCUUAUGCUUUUAGCUUAUCGAGGAAUUGUUUUCAGGAGAGGAAAUAGUUUUCAUGACUUGAAAAAGGGGUAAGAAUCAAAUGGAUGCCUUAUCCCCUUGGCAGCUAUAGUAAUGAGGAAUAUAUAUUUACUGAUAGGCUAUUUGGUAAAAGAUAGUUAAAAUGUUGAGACUAAAAAAAAUUAUGCAUAUCUAAGUUAAGAUACAAGUCAUCAAAUGGCAUUAAUUAGAAAAUUAAUAUCUAGACUUAAGUUUGAUUUGUGCUAUUUGCACUACAUAUCAAAUAUAUAUUCUUUA